rnacentral:snRNA from 2 species
GUCGGGACAUCCUAUAAAAUUAAAACGAUACAGAGAAGAUUAGCAUAGUCUAUGUGCAAAGAUGACAUGCAUUCAUGACAUGCAAUCGAGAAAAUC